AUACUUACCCAGCAGAAGAGAUACCAUGAUCAAGAAGGUGGUUUUCUUAGGGUGUGACUCACCCAUUGUACUAAGGGUGUGCUGACCCCUGCAGUUUCCCCAGAUGUGGGAAAUUCGACUGCUGAUUUGUGGUAGCGGGGGACUGCUUUUGUGCUUUCCCCUG